GUGGGGAAUAUUGGACAAUGGGGGGAACCCUGAUCCAGCCAUGCCGCGUGUGUGAAGAAGGCCUUUUGGUUGUAAAGCACUUUAAGUGGGGAGGAGGCUUACCUGGUUAAUACCUGGGCUAAGUGGACGUUACCCACAGAAUAAGCACCGGCUAACUCUGUGCCAGCAGCCGCGGUAAUACAGAGGGUGCGAGCGUUAAUCGGAUUUACUGGGCGUAAAGCGCGCGUAGGUGGUUAAUUAAGUCAAAUGUGAAAUCCCCGAGCUUAACUUGGGAAUUGCAUUCGAUACUGGUUGGCUAGAGUAUGGGAGAGGAUGGUAGAAUUCCAGGUGUAGCGGUGAAAUGCGUAGAGAUCUGGAGGAAUACCGAUGGCGAAGGCAGCCAUCUGGCCUAAUACUGACACUGAGGUGCGAAAGCAUGGGGAGCAAACAGGAUUAGAAACCCGUGUAGUCC
rnacentral:rRNA from 1 species